rnacentral:rRNA from 1 species
UACGGAGGGUGCAAGCGUUAUCCGGAUUCACUGGGUUUAAAGGGUGCGUAGGCGGGCAGGUAAGUCAGUGGUGAAAUCUCCGAGCUUAACUCGGAAACUGCCAUUGAUCCUAUUUGUCUUGAAUAUUGUGGAGGUAAGCGGAAUAUGUCAUGUAGCGGUGAAAUGCUUAGAUAUGACAUAGAACACCAAUUGCGAAGGCAGCUUACUACACAAUCAUUGACGCUGAGGCACGAAAGCGUGGGGAUCAAACAGG